AGCUCUGCAGUGCCGCGGUCGAGUGACGCGGAGACGGGAGUAGCGUCGGGAGGAGAGGGCUCGGCGCCCCAGCCAGGGGCCAGGUCUCGCCAUCCUCUCAAAGCCCUCUCCUCCAGUAGGGGUCAGAGUCUGGGCUUUUGCGCCUGGAGGACGCAGGACGCGGAGUGGUGCUCCCUGAGAUCUCAGCCCUGGAAGGAGGUGGCUGUGAAGACGGCCAGGACAUCCACCCCCUUCUCCCCCGCUCGGGAGGGCACUUCUAUCAGGCCUGAAAAGCCACCGCCUUGAACGUUGGAAUCUGAUGGGAAACUGAGGCACAAGGAAGGGAAGACCUGGCUGUGCCUGAGUCCGCGGGGGUGCGGCCCACCAUCCCAUGCGGGAGUCGAACCAGCAACCUUGUUCAGAGCACGCGCUCUAACCAACUGAGCCACCCAGCCAUCCCUAGAGUGACUUCUUAAUGCGCAGGCCGGGAUAUCUCGCACACGCCUUUGUGCUUGCUCCUACGAGGUUGAGGAAGGGAAGAGAGAAAUGGAAAACAGAUGUGCUCCCUGCGGUGACUGGUUUGUGGUGGUGACGUGGCUGUCCCGUGCUCUCUGGGUCUUGACUGCUGAUCUAGCUCCCUCUUCAGACCAGGGUUUCUCAUUCUCAGCACUGCUGACAUUUGGGGCUGGACCAUUCUUGGUUGUGGGGUCCUGUCCUGUGCAUUGUUCAGCAGCGUCCAUGGGCUCUGCCCACUAGAUGCCAGCAGCCGCCCCCACACACCCACACCAAGGUGUGCAACCAAAAAUGUCUCCCGACAUUGCCAGUGUCCCCGGGGGGCAAACUUUCCCUGGUUGAGAAUGGGUGCUCUAGAGAUUCGGUGUGGACAAGUGGGGCUCCACAGGCCUGCUGCCGAGAGACUCUCCCAAGGGACUCCCCUGGGUCAUAUAUUCUUGCUGUCCCUUGGAGGUGGCCUCAUGCCCUAUUGCUCUGAGGAGUUCCUCCGGUCCCAAAUCCUAGAAGCUGUAAUUCCAUCCAUGCUCUGGGGCUGUGGGGAUGGUAUCCAUCUUCUGAGGGGGUAGAUGGAUGGAUGCUUCAUCACACAGGCUUAGAGAGCAUCAGUGCUGAAUGGCAUCUGCCAGGCAGCGCCCCCAGCUGGCAGUUCUCUGAAUUUAGAAUGGGGUGUGUGUUUUAUUCUUGGCAGUGGGUAAAGUCCCACAGGACACCUUCCUCGACCUAAUCAUAUACUUUUACACAUCAUCUCAUUACUUCUCACAACCCCCAAGGGAGGAGUUACUGUGAUCAUCUUUUCACAGAUGAAGAAAUGCAGGUGCAGGUUGAGGGACCGCCCCAGGUGAACCGCAGAACCAGGACCGGGUCCAGGUCUGAGCUACCCACUCGUGGGCCAAGGGGCCCUGCCUCCUGCUCCCCCACCUCCCCACACCCAUCCCCGUGUAGGCCCACUAGCUCGCCGUGCAGCCUCCAGACCACUUCUCUUCCUCCUGUGCCCUGCCUGCUCGGACCCGCUGCUCCCGGCCUCACCACUCUCAGCCCUGGUCCUGCUGCGUUCGCUCCUUGUCUGGGGCGUGUCUGGCCCCCGACUGCAAUCUUGUUGGCUCUAAGUACUGCUGAGAACGUGCAGAAACUUGGGAUCUGGGAGUUGCAUCGCUGCCACGUCCUCUCGCUCACCUAGAAUGAUAUUCACCCUCGUCUGACCCCAGCCGCCACUCUCGGGGCCCCGGUCUGACCACACCACGUCUUGAUUGCUGAAGUCCAUUAUGCCAGCCUGUUCUGUUUUGUCCCUCCUGUGGCCACACUCUCAUUCAGGCCUGCCUUUAACCCUCUAGCCUUGCACACCCCACCCUCCUCUUCCUCCCCACCCCCCUCCUUCCCUCCCCCUCCUCCCCUUCCCUUCCUCUUCCUGUCUGCUGUCUACUGGCCGGAGGCUGUGGGGAGGGACGGAUGGGGUCUGUCUAGAGUGGGGACCAUACGCUGCUGGGUGAUGCUGCUGCAACUGCAAGUUUCUCCU